UUGGUGGACUUGGGCGGCGACAUACUCCGAACCUGGUCAGGACCGGGAGGUAGCAGCCAUAAGGGGUCACUGACGAGCGCCCAAGUCUACCAAGGG
rnacentral:SRP_RNA from 2 species